rnacentral:rRNA from 1 species
AAGUCGAGCGAGAAAGCCACCUUCGGGUGGUGAGUAAAGCGGCGCACGGGUGAGUAACGCGUGGAUAAUCUACCUGUAGGCCUGGGAUAACUCCGGGAAACUGGAGCUAAUACCGGAUAAGACCACGGGGUCUUUGGAUCUUGCGGAAAAAGGUGGCCUCUUCUUGAAAGCUACCGCCUAUCGAUGAGUCCGCGUCCCAUUAGCUUGUUGGUGAGGUAAAGGCUCACCAAGGCUUCGAUGGGUAGCUGGUCUGAGAGGAUGAUCAGCCACACUGGAACUGAGACACGGUCCAGACUCCUGCGGGAGGCAGCAGUCGGGAAUUUUGGGCAAUGGGGGAAACCCUGACCCAGCAACGCCGCGUGAGGGAUGAAGGCCUUCGGGUCGUAAACCUCUGUCGGAAGGGAAGAAAGGUCUCCGUUCAAAUAGAGCGGGGGCUUGACGGUACCUUCAAAGGAAGCACCGGCUAACUCCGUGCCAGCAGCCGCGGUAAUACGGAGGGUGCAAGCGUUGUUCGGAAUUACUGGGCGUAAAGCGCGUGUAGGCGGCUAGGCAAGUCGAGUGUGAAAUCCCAGGGCUCAACCCUGGAACUGCACCCGAAACUGCUUGGCUAGAGUCCCGGAGAG